rnacentral:sRNA from 1 species
AAAACAAUAUUGAUGGCGCAGUAUCCUAGUCGGUACUGCCGGCUUCGAAGGCGGGGCUAAAAAUCCGUCAAGGGCAUAUCGAUGAAGUUCCUUGUGUUGGCCGCUGAUGCCCAAUCGGGGGCUGAUGCUGGGAGUUAAGGUUUAUGGGCGGCCUGUAACGGCAUAUAGGCUAUAACCCAUCUUCCGUGGAGACCCUGUAGGUGGAGAGCACCGACUCUUUACUGAAUGGGAUAUAAACCUGCUAUGCGGUUUGCAGCUGUGUGCAGUGUAGCCUGCCUUGAGUUGACGUUAAGGGAUUCAGUGAGCACGCCCGGCCCCCAUGGCCAAGGGCGGGUCUACGUGCGUUUUAGCUGAUGAAAUUGCGAUUGGCAAAAGAGGAUAGAAGCCGGAUGUGUGCUGUUGAGGAAAGCUCCUAGGCUGUAUUCGGCAUAUUUGGAGAUUGUAGUGUGGACGAUAACGGUAAUUCAGUCGCGCAACGGGCAACCUUGCGAACCGGUCUUUAAAGGGAAACCGCUCCUAUCGGCGACGGGGAGCAGACCGGGGAGAAAAUCUACUGGACCAGAGCCGCAAUGUUAAUCCGAUAUGCCGCCAUCUUUAUUUUUUU